rnacentral:rRNA from 1 species
GGAGACCGAUAGCGAACAAGUACCGUGAGGGAAAGAUGAAAAGAACUUUGGAAAGAGGGUGAAAUAGUGCUUGAAACCGCUGGGAGGAAAGCGAAUGGAGCUACUGCAGGUCCGAGAAUCUCAAACCGGCAUUCUGGUUGGUUCUGGUGUAGAGAUCUCGGUGCCGCGCUCGUGGUGUCUUCUUAUUCUGACGAAAGAGGGUAGUUUGUUAAGUUGAAAGUCAUUCUUCCCUUUUGGGAAGAAUGAAUUUCAUUGCUUUGCUAUUUUUUCCAAUGGUCAAAGAACAGAAGUCACGAUUCAAAGGGAGAUAGAAAGGACGUGCGUUUUCGCGUCCUCUGUCUCCAAGAACGGGCGGAGGGGCUUUAUUCGACCCGUCUUGUAACACGGACCAA